AAGCGGUGUAAACCGUGCAGGGUUCGAACCUGCAGCAGGUCGAGUCGAGCGACAGCGAGACAACGUUGCGUCAGCAACGACCCGCAGGGCGAGGCGAAGCCGAGUCAUCCUGCACGACCCACCA
rnacentral:sRNA from 1 species